CCCGGGAGCUGUGGGGUGGGCGGGCCCCCGGCCUUGAGACGUCACCGCCCUGCAAGUUCCCUCUUCUUUCAAACGGCACCAAGGGGCCCCGAGACCCGCCCCCAACCCGCUCGGGAGGGGAGCCCAGCGUCACCGACAGCAGCCUAAACACGGAGUCCGCGCCGACCCCGGACCGGAGAAACCCAGGACCCCCUGUCCCUGGGCGGGGGCGCUAGUUACCGAGGGGCAGGAGCUGAGACGGGUUGGUAGUCGCGUUGGCCGCCAUAUUGAAACCAGACCUAACCAAUCGCCGCUAUCGGAAGAGAGGGCUGACGGGUGGCGGCGGGUGAAUAGCGCUCGGAGCUCCCUCCGCCAGCAGCCCUAGCCAAUGGAUGGCAGAGUAAUCGUGCUCCCGCGGAGUCGUAGCUGGGGGCGGCUGCGGGGCAGGUGCCACCAGGGCCUGAUUUGCGGAGCUGCUGAGCGCUCCUCCGCCGCCUCCUUCCAGAUUCAAUGGCAAACGCAGGGGCUUUGACCAUGAGGCUCCAAAUUAGGGUUGGCUCUUGUCCAGGCUCUCCCAGGACAGUCCCUUUUUUGGUGGUAGCUGCCCUGGGAAAUCCGCAAAGGUGCUGGAUAUACCCUGCCACCAGCUGUCCGGUUUGAUGGGCUCCGGGUCCUCCUGGAUGGCCCAGGUUUUUUUCCGCACAGGUGGCAAUGGUACAUCAAAUGGUCUGGUCUACGCUAGGAAUUUCCAUUGGUAUAACUACAUCUCUCAAGAGACGUAUCUAAACUGACUUCACUCUCCCUCCCCCCCCAGUGUGGACAGCACUAGGUUGACAGAAGGAUUCUAGCAACCACCUCUCAGGGAGGUGGUGUAGGCAAGGCCUAAACAACAAUGUCAUUGUGGCCUUAACUCUGCACUCGCUAGCAUCAAUACCAUAUUAUAACAGAGUGCCAGCUCUGCUCUAAGUUUCGGUUAAGCAUCACUUUCCGUUUAAAAGUUGACUCUUCUAAGAGUCCAAAAAUUCUUGUGCUUACUAGAUUGGCUUGAAAUUUGGUGUGCCUCGUAGUUUUCUGUAAUGUUACUGGUACAAAUUUGGGAUCAUUUGACUAUGGGGUUCCUGAGAUACAGCAUCUACUAUUUACAAAAUCAACUAAUUCUUCCAACUUUUUUGCCCUCAUCUAGGGCUGAGACUAUGGCUCUGAUCCUCCCUAACCUGUCACUCGGGAUUUAUUUCAGCUAGUGGAUGGCACCCACUGCCCCUCUGGGAUGGUAUCUUGAAGAAGUUAUUCGGAGUUGUUACAAAAAUAGGUGGAGCCACAAAGAAUGAAAUGUGCACAUGCCCAUGCAGCAAAACUAGGACCCUGCUGAAACAAGACGGUUCCCAGAAAGAGAGUCCUUUCAUCUGAUUUCCACAAAGAAGCUUAACGACUGAGAGCGUGUGUGAUGCUCUGUACCUCGGGGAAACACCCUACACCCCCAUGUUCAUCUUUAUAAAAUGAUUGUGUGGUAUCCAAUGCAAAGUUUGUCAUGUUGGGUGUCUUCAGAAGACUCAUGAUGCAGGCAAAACUCUCUGAGAGCUGAAAGGCAGUUCAUACCUCAUCAUGGCAUGUUUGGGACAAACCUACCCCAGCCUCACAGGAACAAAGGACGCUGGCCUAGACAUCAACAAAAUAAUCUGUUGGGCUAUCGAGGGAGUCACCCCCCCCUUCCUUUGGUCAGUUUGGGACUACAAUGAGGUAAUGCUCACCUGACUCUGGGGUGGGGGGCAAAGCCAAGAGGGAAGAAAGGACGUGAUAAAAGGGAGAUACAUUUGCCAUGCUCUCUCUCUUUCUCUCUUCCGCCUACACCUACAGACACCACACCAAGCGACUGAAGCGCUGAUCAAAGGGGAGAGCCUGGCUGAAGAGCAACUGGCCAGCCUGUGGUUGGAUGAAAGAAAUACCAGGUUGCUGGAGGACGCUCUAUGCCUCCAUGGAAAAAGUUUUUAAAUGUGGUAUCCAACAGUUACUUGUAAAAUUCCUCUGUGACUAUAUGGUUCAAAAUGCACCUGAGAGUGUGCAAGCUUACCCAGAACAAGAACUUCUUCUUGCUGGAGCCUUUUGCAAUGGUGAAGUAGCAAAAUCCAUUACCGAUAGAAAGUGUAGGGAGUUGAAAAAGCCCAAGAAUUGUACAGUACUCAAGAGGAAGUGGACAGAAGGAUACUUCUGCAUGCUUUAUGUGCCAUAUGGCUUUUGGGUCUCUUGGUGUCAAAGAAACCAUAGGUUUCAGAGUAGCAGCCGUGUUAGUCUGUAUUCGCAAAAAGAAAAGGAGUACUUGUGGCACCUUAGAGACUAACAAAUUUAUUAGAGCAUAAGCUUUCGUGAGCUACACCUCACUUGAGCUGUAGCUCACGAAAGCUUAUGCUCUAAUAAAUUUGUUAGUCUCUAAAGUGCCACAAGUACUCCUUUUCUUUUUUUAAAGAAACCAUAGUAAUUAGGUCUGCUAAUACAGAUGUCUUGGCUAUUGCUGUUCUCUAUUUUCCAAAAAUGGAACACCUAGAUAACAUGUGGAUUAAAACAGACACCAUGACCAGCACAACUGAUGAUCAUUUCUUCAUACCCACACAUGCAAUUUGUGGCACACUCACUCUUGACUUCUGCAACUUACUUCCUGUUAUAUACAUUAACAAGAUAUGAUUGUGAUGCUCUGUACCUUGGGGAAACACCCAGGACCCCCAUGUUCAUCCUUGUAAAAUGAUUAUGUGGUAUCCAAUGCAAAGUUUGUCAUGUUGGGUGUGGAAGGCU